rnacentral:rRNA from 1 species
GGUUGCGAUCAUACCAGCACUAAUGCACCGGAUCCCAUCAGAACUCCGCAGUUAAGCGUACUUGGGCGAGAGUAGUACUAGGAUGGGUGACCCCCUGGGAAGUCCUCGUGUUGCAACCC